rnacentral:snRNA from 1 species
GUGCUCGUUUUGGCAGCACAUAUACUAAAAUUGGAACGAUAAUGAGAUUAGCAUGGCCCCUGCACAAGGAUGAUGCACAAAUUCACAAAGUGUUUCAUAUUUUU